rnacentral:rRNA from 1 species
AUUCCAGCUCCAAGAGCGUAUAUUAAAGUUGUUGCAGUUAAAAAGCUCGUAGUUGGAUUUCUGGUCUAAUGCGCCUGGCCCGCGGCAGUAAUGCCUGUGAGUGCCGGUGCGCGUUAACCAUCCUUCUAUAAAACGUUUCUACCAUUCACUUGGCUGGACUCGCGAUCUAGAUCUUUUACUUUGAAAAAAUUAGAGUGUUCAAAGCAGGCUUUUGCUGUGAAUACAUUAGCAUGGAAUAAUAAUCUAGGACUUCGGUUUUAUUUUGUUGGUUUCUAACACUGAAGUAAUGAUUGAUAGGGAUAGUUGGGGGUGCUAGUAUUGGCCGGCCAGAGGUGAAAUUCUUGGAUUCGGUCAAGACUAACUUAUGCGAAAGCAUUCACCAAGGAUGUCUUCAUUA